rnacentral:rRNA from 1 species
UUUUGGACAAUGGGGGAAACCCUGAUCCAGCCAUCCCGCGUGUAUGAUGAAGGACUUCGGGUUGUAAAGUACUUUUGGCAGAGAAGAAAAGGUAUCUCCUAAUACGAGAUACUGCUGACGGUAUCUGCAGAAUAAGCCCCGGCUAACUACGUGCCAGCAGCCGCGGUAAUACGUAGGGUGAAAGCGUUAAUCGGAAUUACUGGGCGUAAAGCCUGUGUAGGCGGUUCGGAAAGAAAGAUGUUAAACACCAGGGCUCGACCUUGGAACUGCAUUUUUAACUGUCGAGCUAGAGUAUGUCAGAGGGAGGUAGAAUUCCACGUGUAGGAGUGAAAUGCGUAGAUAUGUGGAGGAAUACCGAUGGCGAAGGCAGCCCCCUGGGAUAAUACUGACGCUCAGACACGAAAGCGUGGGGAGCAAACA